AGCGCACCGGCCUCGCGAGCAUUCCGAGGAACCGGUAACGGUCCUCGCGUUGGUCGGACACU
rnacentral:sRNA from 1 species